rnacentral:lncRNA from 1 species
UUUGAGUCACCUUGCCCUUGCCCAAAAUGCACAAGCCUUGGUGCAACAACUGUGCUACAAAUGGAGCCAUAUAGAGGAAAGGAGCAGCAGGCUCAGGAGCAGGCUGUGCACUGCCUUUGGGCCUUCAGUCCAUGCCUCAUGGGUCGUAUGACACUGCGGGCUUUUUUGUUGCCAAGAGGCAGACCACAGGUCGUCUUGUGGAGGACUUUAUGUUCCAGUCCAGAAAGCAGCCAAUAUUACCACCCAGGGGACACGUGCUUCUGUGGCCCAGGCCAGACAUAGAAUUUGACAAAGUCAGGACAAGCUCACUCAGAGCAGCAUGUCGGUCCCCAGGGCCUGUUCAUGCCAGGCAAGGCCAAGCUGGCUCAAAGAGCAAGCAGCCACCUCUGUAAGGGUGUGCCUGGAGCAGGUGGAGCAGCCACCAACCUCACCCACUCAAAGAAGCAGGGAUGGCCAGGUUCCAACAGCCUGAGUGGCUGCCACCUGAUGGCUGAUGGAGCAGAGGUCUGAGGAAAAGCAGAUGACACUGCUUUGUAGUGCUCUUCUUUGUCUGUCUUGAUCUUUUUCAGUUAAAGUCUGUUUUAUCAGAGACUAGGAUUGCAAACCCUGCUUUUUUUUGCUUUCCGUUUGCUUGGUAAAUAUUCCUCCAUCCCUUCAUUUUAAGCCUAUGUGUGUCUUUGCCCAUGAGAUGGAUCCUGAAUACAGGACACCAAUGGGUCUUUACUCUUUAUCCAACUUGCCAGUCUGUGUCUUUUAACUGGGGCAUUUAGCCCAUUUACAUUUAAGUUUAGUAUUGUUACAUGUGAAAUUUAUCCUGUCAUGAUGUUGCUUUUUAUUUUUCCCAUUAGUUAAUGCAGUUUUUUUAUAGCGUCAAUGGUCUUUACAAUUUGAUAUGUUUUUGUAGUGGCUGGUAUUGGUUGUUCCUUUCCAUGUUUAGUGCUUCCUUCAGGAGCUCUUGUAACGCAAGAAUGUGGAUUUAUUUCUUGUAAGGUAAAUAUGUGGAUUUAUUUCUCGGUGCUGUAUUCUAUGGCCUUUACCCCAAGAAUCAUUACUUUUUAAAAUGCAAUUCAAAUUAGCAUAAAACAUUUACAGCCUAGGGAAAGGCUUGUGGCAUUAGAAUACUUACUUAUAGGAUUAUUUUGUGUUUUUUUGAGAUAUGGUCUUUGUCAUUGAGGCAGAAGUGCAGUGGUUUGAUCAUAAUUCACCACAGCCCUAAACUCUGAGUCCAAGCCAUCCUUUUGCCUUAAUCUCCCAACUAGUUGGAUCUACAAGCAUAAGGCAUCAUGCCUGGCUAAUUUUUUUACAUGUUUUUUUUUGUUGUUGUUGAGAUUAUGGUAUCACUGUGUUGCUCUAGCUGAUCUCAAAUUCCUGACCUCAAGGGAUCUUUCUGCCACAGCCUCCUAAAGUGCUAGGAUUACAUGCAUGAUACACCAUGCCUAUUGUAGAGUAUUACAUUAUUUUCAAAGUCUUAUUCUAAGAGCCAUUUAUUGACUUUGGCCUAAAUAACUCAAUAUAAUAUCCCUGAAACUUUUUUUGACAAAUUUUGGGGCAUUAUGAUGAGAGAAGGGGGUUUGAAACUUUCUAAUAAGAGUUAACUUAGAGCCAUUUAAGAAGGAAAAAACACAAAUUAUAAGAAAAAUAAAAGUAAGAUCAAGUGCAAAAGUUGUGUGGCAAAGAUGAUGAGAGUAAAGAAUAUAUGUUUGUGACUCAUGGUGGCUUUUACUUUGUUCUUGAAUUUCUGAGUACGGGUUAACAUUUAAAGAAUCUACAUUAUAGAUAACAUUUUAUUGCAAGUAAAUGUAUUUCAAAAUUUGUUAUUGGUUUUGUAUGAGAUUAUUCUCAGCCUACUUCAUUAUCAAGCUAUAUUAUUUUAUUAAUGUAGUUUGAUGAUCUUACAGCAAAGCUGGAAGCUGUAUCUUCAAAAUAUGUCUAUUUGACUAAAAAGAAGUUAUUCAACAGGAGUUAUUAUCUAUGAAAAAAGUACAACAGGAAUAUAAAAAACUUGAAGAGGAUAAAAAGAUGUUGGAAGAAGUAAUGUUAAGUCUUAAAAAACAUAUGGAAAGUACACAUUGGUGAAGACACAUUGGUGAAGUACAAAAAUAUAAAUCAGAUCAAGAAGAAAGGGCAGUGCAGGCAAUAGAAAAAUUAGUAGAAAUCCCUUUACAGGUUAGUUUGUAAAAUCGGGUAAGUUUAUUUAUAAAGUGCUUUCAUUUAUUUCACUGCAAAUUAUAUUUUGGAUAUAUAUAUAUAUUGUGUUUCCUCUGCCUCUCUUAUAGCAAUUUGCCUUGUAGAGUUCUAGCAAAAAGGUGGCAUCUGUUUUUACUUUCAAAUAUUUAAAUUUCCAUCAUUAUAACAAAAUUGAUUUUUCAGAGUAAUGAUUCUCACUGUGGAGUCAUUUGAUUAUUAAGACCCGUUGGCAUAAGAUUACAUCCUCUGACUAUAAAAAUCCUGGAAGAAAACCUAGGAAAUAUUCGUCUGGACAUCGCACUUGGCAAUGAAUUUAUGGGCAACCACUGAUCCACUUCCAGUGGCUAUCUGUGAGUUUUUAUUUCCAAAUACAUGAAAUCAUAGGAUGAUGACCACCAGCAGCAGCUGGGGAAACCAGAACCCUGUGGAACUGCAUAGGGUGCAUAGAAUACGUUCUCCCUUCAGUCAGCUUGGGUCAGCUUAGGUCAUGGGCUACCUGGGCUGAUUGCAGUUUCCGCAGAAAUGCCUCAAGAUGAAAGUGGAUGACCUGGGCCACCCUCCGCCACUGCCCUGUAAGGCCAUGGGACACACAGCUCAUCGGAUCUCUUCAUGUGGUCAUCCCCCGUUAGAUGGGAGAAAAUACACCUGCCUCAUUUUUGUACCUUCUGUGUGAACAUUCCACGACAGAGCUACACUAAAUGUGUGAUGAAGAACUGAAUGAAUGAAUGAAUAUGAGAGAAAAUGAAUAAAUGGCUCAGAUCCUGGGCUGGAAAACUGUGUAUGAGGAUGGUGGGUAGAGGAGGGUCUGUUUUUCUUGCCUUUAAGUCAUUACUUGUCACUUUGGGGCAGGAGCACAAGCUUUGAAUGCAGACCGACUGGACUUUAAUUUUGGCUUUACUAGUUGUGAUUGUGUGACCUUGUGCAAGUUACUUAAACCAUCUGUCCUGUUUCUUCAUCUGUAAAAUGGAGAUAAUAAGAUGUCAAAGGACUGUGGUAAGAAUUAAAUGCUUUAAAAAAAA